rnacentral:rRNA from 1 species
UGGGGAAUUUUGGACAAUGGGCGAAAGCCUGAUCCAGCAAUGCCGCGUGUGUGAAGAAGGCCUUCGGGUUGUAAAGCACUUUUGUCCGGAAAGAAAUCCUUGGCUCUAAUACAGUCGGGGGAUGACGGUACCGGAAGAAUAAGCACCGGCUAACUACGUGCCAGCAGCCGCGGUAAUACGUAGGGUGCAAGCGUUAAUCGGAAUUACUGGGCGUAAAGCGUGCGCAGGCGGUUUGCUAAGACCGAUGUGAAAUCCCCGGGCUCAACCUGGGAACUGCAUUGGUGACUGGGCAGGCUAGAGUAUGGCAGGAGGGGGGUAGAAUUGCCACGUGUAGCAGUGAAAUGCGUAGAGAUGUGGAGGAAUACCGAUGGCGAAGGCAGCCCCCUGGGCCAAGUACUGACGCUCAUGCACGAAAGCGUGGGGGAGCAAACAGGAUUAGAUACCC